CUCUGACCCACAUCACGCUUGCAUUGGGUCUCCGCUGCUGGUUUAACGUCUUGAAUUUAGUGUUUAAAAGAGCCGUGGGAUCUAGAGCUUGGUUCGUGAGAAGCGUAGCAAAACCAUGGACCCACUGAAGAUUGGCAUCAUAAUAGUGAGUGACCGGGCGGCGGCAGGCAGCUCAGCCGACCUGACUGGGCCCCGGCUCAGCGCGCUGCUCGAGGGCGGCGAACUCUUUGUGGC